rnacentral:rRNA from 1 species
UACGUAGGCUGCAAGCGUUGUUCGGAGUUACUGGGCGUAAAGGGUGUGUAGGCGGUUGCUUAAGUUUGGUGUGAAAUCUCCCGGCUCAACUGGGAGGGUGCGCCGAAUACUGAGUGACUCGAGUGCGGGAGAGGAAAGUGGAAUUCCUGGUGUAGCGGUGAAAUGCGUAGAUAUCAGGAGGAACACCGGUGGUGUAGACGGCUUUCUGGACCGUAACUGACGCUGAAACACGAAAGCGUGGGUAGCAAACAGG